rnacentral:rRNA from 1 species
AAGUCGAGCGCGAAUAGGGGCAACCCUUAGUAGAGCGGCGCACGGGUGCGUAACACGUGGAUAAUCUGCCUGGAUGCCUGGGAUAACCAGUCGAAAGAUUGGCUAAUACCGGAUAAGCCCACGGUUUCUUCGGAGACUGAGGGAAAAGGUGGCCUCUGUAUACAAGCUAUCACAACCAGAUGAGUCCGCGGCCCAUCAGCUAGUUGGCGGGGUAAUGGCCCACCAAGGCGACGACGGGUAGCUGGUCUGAGAGGACGAUCAGCCACACUGGAACUGAGACACGGUCCAGACUCCUACGGGAGGCAGCAGUGGGGAAUUUUGCGCAAUGGGCGAAAGCCUGACGCAGCAACGCCGCGUGUGUGAUGAAGGUCUUUGGAUUGUAAAGCACUUUCGACCGGGACGAAACCGUAAAGCCUAAUACGCUUUGCCUUGACGGUACCGGGAGAAGAAGCACCGGCUAACUCUGUGCCAGCAGCCGCGGUAAUACAGAGGGUGCAAGCGUUGUUCGGAAUUAUUGGGCGUAAAGCGCGUGUAGGCGGCUUUGCAAGUCGGGUGUGAAAGCCCUCAGCUCAACUGAGGAAGUGCGCCCGAAACUGCAGAGCUUGAGUGCCGGAGAGGGUGGCGGAAUUCCCCAAGUAGAGGUGAAAUUCGUAGAUAUGGGGAGGAACACCGGUGGCGAAGGCGGCCACCUGGACGGUAACUGACGCUGAGACGCGAAAGCGUGGGUAGCAAACAGGAUUAGAUACCCUGGUAGUCCACGCCGUAAACGAUGAGAACUAGGUGUCGUGGAGUUGACCCCC